AGAGUUUGAUCCUGGCUCAGGAUGAACGCUAGCUACAGGCUUAACACAUGCAAGUCGAGGGGCAGCAUGGUCUUAGCUUGCUAAGGCCGAUGGCGACCGGCGCACGGGUGAGUAACGCGUAUCCAACCUGCCUUACACUCUUGGACAGCCUUCUGAAAGGGAGAUUAAUACAAGAUGUUAUCAUGAGUAAGCAUUUUCGCAUGAUUAAAGGUUUACCGGUGUAAGAUGGGGAUGCGUUCCAUUAGAUAGUAGGCGGGGUAACGGCCCACCUAGUCUUCGAUGGAUAGGGGUUCUGAGAGGAAGGUCCCCCACAUUGGAACUGAGACACGGUCCAAACUCCUACGGGAGGCAGCAGUGAGGAAUAUUGGUCAAUGGACGAGAGUCUGAACCAGCCAAGUAGCGUGAAGGAUGAAGGUUCUAUGGAUUGUAAACUUCUUUUAUACGGGAAUAAACGAAUCCACGUGUGGAUUUUUGCAUGUACCGUAUGAAUAAGGAUCGGCUAACUCCGUGCCAGCAGCCGCGGUAAUACGGAGGAUCCGAGCGUUAUCCGGAUUUAUUGGGUUUAAAGGGAGCGUAGAUGGGUUGUUAAGUCAGUUGUGAAAGUUUGCGGCUCAACCGUAAAAUUGCAAUUGAUACUGGCAGUCUUGAGUACAGUUGAGGUAGGCGGAAUUCGUGGUGUAGCGGUGAAAUGCUUAGAUAUCACGAAGAACUCCGAUUGCGAAGGCAGCUUACUAACCUGUAACUGACAUUGAUGCUCGAAAGUGUGGGUAUCAAACAGGAUUAGAUACCCUGGUAGUCCACACGGUAAACGAUG
rnacentral:rRNA from 1 species